GGGCACUUGGCACAGUGGUAGCGCGCAUGCUUCGCAUAGGGAGUGUAGUGUCAUUGCAUGAGGUCGUGAGUUCAAUCCUCACAGUGUCCA